AGCAGCCGCGGUGAUUCCAGCUCCAAUAGCGUAUAUUAAAGUUGUUGCAGUUAAAAAGCUCGUAGUUGAAUUUCGGGGUCAGUAGGCUGGUCGUGCCACCGGUACGUACUGGUCUCACUGAUUCCUCCUUCCUGAAGAACCGUAAUGCCAUUAAUUUGGUGUUGCGGGGAAACAGGACUGUUACUUUGAAAAAUUAGAGUGUUUAAAGCAGGCUAACGCUUGAAUACAUUAGCAUGGAAUAAUGAAAUAGGACGUUUGAUCCUAUUUUGUUGGUUUCUAGGAUUGACGUAAUGAUUAAUAGGGAUAGUUGGGGGCAUUAGUAUUCAAUUGUCAGAGGUGAAAUUCUUGGAUUUAUUGAAGACUAACUACUGCGAAAGCAUUUGCCAAGGAUGUUUUCAUUAAUCAAGAACGAAAGUUAGGGGAUCGAAGACGAUCAGAUACCGUCGUAGUCUUAACCAUAAACUAUGCCGACUAGGGAUCGGAUGAUGUUAAUUUUUAAUGUACUCAUUCGG
rnacentral:rRNA from 1 species